rnacentral:rRNA from 1 species
GACGAACGCUGGCGGCGUGCUUAACACAUGCAAGUCGAACGGAAAGGCCCUGCUUUUGUGGGGUGCUCGAGUGGCGAACGGGUGAGUAACACGUGAGUAACCUGCCCUUGACUUUGGGAUAACUUCAGGCAACUGGGGCUAAUACCGGAUAGGAGCUCCUGCUGCAUGGUGGGGGUUGGAAAGUUUCGGCGGUUGGGGAUGGACUCGCGGCUUAUCAGCUUGUUGGUGGGGUGGUGGCUUACCAAGGCUUUGACGGGUAGCCGGCCUGAGAGGGUGACCGGCCACAUUGGGACUGAGAUACGGCCCAGACUCCUACGGGAGGCAGCAGUGGGGAAUAUUGCACAAUGGGCGGAAGCCUGAUGCAGCAACGCCGCGUGCGGGAUGACGGCCUUCGGGUUGUAAACCGCUUUCGCCUGUGACGAAGCGUGAGUGACGGUAAUGGGUAAAGAAGCACCGGCUAACUACGUG